rnacentral:piRNA from 1 species
UGGCCAAAUAAAGUGUGGUAUAUCCUAA